rnacentral:rRNA from 1 species
AAUUUCAUAAACAACUAUCAACCCUCACACACCAUUGAAUAAUUCUAUAACAAUAUAGAAAAUAUUAUGCUAGAACUAGUAACAAGAAUUUAAUAUUCUCCAAAAUGCAAGUAUUAACCAAAAUGGAUUCUCCAUUGGUAAUUAACGAAAAUGAGCCCGAUACAGUAACCACCAAGAAAACCCUGUAUAAAUUAUUCGUCAACCUAACACUAGAGCAUUCCCGGAAAGAUUUAAAGAAAAAGAAGGAAUUCGGCAAAUCAUGACCUCGCCUGUUUACCAAAAACAUCGCCUCUUGACUAACAAUAAGAGGUCCAGCCUGCCCAGUGAUAAAAUUCAACGGCCACAGUACCCUAACUGUGCGAAGGUAGCAUAAUCACUUGUUCUUUAAAUAAGGACUUGUAUCAACGGCAUCACGAAGGUCAUACUGUCUCCCUUUUCUAAUCAGUGAAACUGAUCUCCCCGUGAAGAAGCGGGAAUAAAACUAUAAGACGAGAAGACCCCAUGGAGCUUUAAACCCUUCAGCAACUCAACUACACACUCCUUCAUAAUCUUAGAGCAAUGCCCAAAGGUUUUAGGCUGGGGUGGCCGCGGAGUAAAAAUCAACCUCCACGACGAAAAGAACUAAAUCUUUAUCCUAGAGUUACUACUCUAAGAAUUAGAAUACUAACGUACAAUGACCCAAUAAAUGAUCAACGAACCAAGUUACCCUGGGGAUAACAGCGCAAUCUACUUUCAAGAGCCCAUAUCGACAAGUAGGCUUACGACCUCGAUGUUGGAUCAGGUAUCCUAGUGGUGCAGCCGCUACUAAUGGUUC